AUCCCUCCCGUUUCAUUGCAUAGAAUCCAGAUGGGAGAGAUUUAAACUCUCCUCCCUAUCAAUGAACAUUACUCUUGAUCCAAAUUGAGGUUGCACAAACUUACUUUUGAGUUGUAAAAAAGGAUUUUAAGCUGCAUAACAUGUGCUUAACAUAUUGUGUUCUCUGAGGUGUACGACGUUAUCCCAUAGGCAGGAGGGAAGGGGGAGUAAAGAAAAGUGGGGGAAAGCAUCCUUAAUAGUGAGGACACAAUCUACCCUGGCAAGAUCCAUCUUCAGGGGUAGCCAGUUACCCCACAAUGUUUCCUAUCUUCCUCCAUUUCCUGCUGCUGUCUUCUAUCAGAAUUCAGAGGAACACCUGACAACUGACUUUUCUCUUCUUUUUUUUUUCAUGCUGGUGGCACAGAUUUCAAUGCACAGUCACUGGACUCCAACAUUGGACUCCAUUGCAACAGCGUAUGAAGAUGACGCUUUGGUAUGGAAGGUGGAUUUGAAGCAGAGAGGAAAUCUGAGAAAUUGCUCUGAGGGCAGCAAAAGGCAGCUUAAUCAACUGCUCUUCGAAUCUAUAGCAAAGAAACUCUCUCCAAUGCCAAAGAGGUGUUAA
rnacentral:lncRNA from 1 species